rnacentral:lncRNA from 1 species
GCAAAAGCUUGUGUCUAGGCAAAGGAUCGCACGUUGUACCUUAUGACCUUAUCUGUAUGAUGCGUGUUCUUUGCGUGCAUUUUUAUGUAACUUUUUCUUUAACAUCAUAUGUGUUGUAAAUUGCCUCCCACAACAAUAUUCAUGUUCCACAAAAUGAACACGAAAAUAAGUGCAACUAUUUUCUGCAACAUUAUUUAUGUUGCAAAAUUUGUUCCUCAACAACACCCGUGUUGUAAAAAUAAUGUAAAAACAAAUCGGCAACAUCAUCUAUGCUGCAAAAGAUUUUUGUAACGUAAGCUUUCUUGCAAGGAACUAUGCAACACUACUCUUUUAUUGCAAUGAUGAGGACAGUUCUACAUGUUGGAUAGUUAUAGAUCUAACGGCUCUCUAGGCGGUGGAUCUUAGCAUAGCCCUUUUUAUUAAAUGUUCAGUUUCAUAGAAAAUGGUGAUGUUUUCAAAAUAAUGA